AUGGCUUCCCUACCCAUCUGCCCAUCGUCCCCUUCCUCCUUCCUCUCAUGGCCGCACCGCCCAAUCUCGCUCUCCUUCCAGCCCAAGAACCACUCCUCCUCCGCCUCGCCGGCCGCCGCACAUGUCUCCGUCCAGGACUCGCCGCCCCAGGACCCGGCGCCUCCCUCCGACCCCGGCCAGAACCCCAAGAUUUCCAGCACUGCGAAGUUCCUCUGGGUCAACCCCAACAGCCCGCGCGCCGCCGAACUCGCCCGCGCGCGCGCCGGAUCCGGCCGCCGGGCCCGCCUCGCCGCCGCGGCCGCAGCGCUCGCCGCGUGCGAGCCCGCCGAGGCGCCCGUCGCCGCCGCGCUCGAGGCCGCCUUCCCCGAGGCCCCCUCCGAGCAGGACGCCGCCAUCGUGCUCAACACGGCCGCCGGCAACCCGGCCACCGCCGUGCUCGCGCUGCGCUGGUUCCUGGAGAACGCCGAGGUCCGCAGCAAGGUCAUCCUCUACAACGUCGUGUUCAAGGUGCUGCGCAAUCGGCGGCGCUGGAGCGAAACGGAGGCGCUCUGGGACGCGAUGCUGCGGGACGGCGUGCAGCCGGACAACACCACCUUCUCGACCGUCAUCAGCUGCGCGCGCGCCUGCGGCCCGCCCGGCAAGGCCGUGGAGUGGUUCGAGAAGAUGCCGGAGUCAGGGUGCUCGCCGGACAUGCUCACCUACUCGGUCGUGAUCGACGCGUACGGCCGCGCCGGGGACGCCGAGAUGGCACUCCGCUUGUACGACCGUGCCCGGUCCGAGAGAUGCCAGCUCGACCCUGUCAUAUGCGCCACGGUGAUCAAGGUGCACUCCACCAGCGGCAAUUUCGACGGCGCACUCAACGUGUUUGAGGAAAUGAAGGCCGUCGGCGUCAAGCCAAACCUGGUCGUGUACAACACCGUGCUGGACGCCAUGGGCCGUGCCAUGCGGCCAUGGGUAGUGAAGACCAUCCACAGGGAGAUGGUCAGCCAGAAGGUGCAGCCCAACAGAGCAACCUACUGCUGUCUCCUGCAGGCGUACACCAGGGCACGCUACGGCGAGGACGCGAUGAUCGUGUACCGGAAGAUGAAGGACGAGGUGAUGGACAUCGACGUGGUGCUGUACAACAUGCUCCUGUCAAUGUGCGCCGACAUCGGCUACGUUGACGAGGCUGAGGAGAUCUUCAGAGACAUGAAGUCGUCCAUGGACACCAAGUGCAAGCCUGAUAGCUGGACCUACUCAUCAAUGGUGACACUAUAUUCCUGCACUGGUAAUGUCCCUGGUGCCGAGGCCAUACUGAAGGAGAUGGCAGAGGCAGGUUUCAAGCCCAACAUCUUCAUCCUCACGUCGCUCACCCGGUGCUACGGUAAAGCGGGAUGCACUGACGAUGUUGUCAGGUCAUUCGGCAUGCUAAAGGAGCUCAAAAUCACGCCUGACGACCGGUUCUGCGGCUGCCUCCUUACCGUGGCAGCGGAUACGCCGGUGGAGGAGCUCGGCAAGGUGGUUGACUGCAUCGACAGAAGCAAUGCCGAGCUUGGCACCGUGGUGAAGCUCCUGGCGGACAGGAAAGCCUCCACUGAAUCCUUCAAGGAGGCAGCCAGGGGCAUCCUGAGCGGCGCCCGUGGCGUGGUGAAGAUGCCCUACUGCAACUGCUUGAUGGACCUGUGCAUCAACCUGGGGCAGAUGGAGAAAGCCUGCGCGCUCCUCGACGCCGCGCUGCAGCUCGACAUCUACAGCAACGUGCAGACGAGGACGCAGACGCAGUGGUCGCUGCACCUCAGAGGCCUCUCCGUCGGCGCCGCCCUGACCACACUCCAUGUCUGGAUGAACGACCUGUACACGACGCUUCAGAGCGGCGAAGAGCUGCCACCACUGCUCGGAAUCCACACAGGGGAGGGGAGGAACAUGUACUCCGACAAAGGGCUGGCCUCCGUGUUCGAGUCGCAUCUCAAGGAGCUCGACGCCCCCUUCCAUGGCGCUCCCGACAAGGCCGGCUGGUUCCUGACGACGAGCGUUGCUGCCAAGCACUGGCUGGAGGCGAAGAAGUCGUCAGAGCUAGUCGCCGUGUAA
rnacentral:rRNA from 1 species